UACGUAGGGCGCAAGCGUUGUCCGGAAUUAUUGGGCGUAAAGAGCUCGUAGGCGGCCUGUUGCGUCCGCUGUGAAAUCCCGGGGCUUAACCCCGGGCGUGCAGUGGAUACGGGCAGGCUGGAGGCAGGCAGGGGAGAACGGAAUUCCCGGUGUAGCGGUGAAAUGCGCAGAUAUCAGGAGGAACACCGGUGGCGAAGGCGGUUCUCUGGGCAUGUCCUGACGCUGAGGAGCGAAAGUGUGGGGAGCGAACAGG
rnacentral:rRNA from 1 species